GGUACUGAAGGAAGAAGUCCAAGCUACACUGAAUUUUUUUUCAGUGUAGCUUGGACUUCUUCCUUCAGUACC
rnacentral:pre_miRNA from 1 species